GAUCCUGGCUCAGAGUGAACGCUGGCGGCGUGCCUAAUACAUGCAAGUCGAACGGACAAGUAAGAGCUUGCUCUUAUGAGUUAGUGGCGCACGGGUGAGUAAUGUAUAGCUAAUCUGCCCUACACUAGAGGACAACAGUUGGAAACGACUGCUAAUACUCUAUACUCCUGUCUUACAUAAGUUAGAUAGGGAAAGUUUUUCGGUGUAGGAUGAGGCUAUAUUGUAUCAG
rnacentral:rRNA from 1 species